AGGGAUUACCAGAGUGAGGAGAGACAGAGAAGCAGCAGACAGCAGUGGCGUGCAGAGCGCAGAAUGCAGGCUGGUCACUGACGCUGCAGCUGUUGGACCAAACAGACACAUGCACGGACUCACACACCUCUAAGGAGUGUAUGAGGCAUGCACACGCUGCUGCCUAUGGGAACACACACACUGGAAGGGUACCAGAGAGGAAAUACAGAAAACCCCUGAGCCUGAGGAGAUAUGGAGAGCAGCAUGUUCUUUGGUAACACAUGUCAAAAUGGCCUCAUGCCUACCCUGAUGCGUCCAACUCUGCCCGCUGUCCAAACCUCGCUGGGCAUGAAGCAGUUUCUCCCGAUUCCGUUGGACACGGCGUCAGCGGUCAGCCUUUUCCCAGGAUUUAACACGGUGAGUCUGAUGUUCAUCUCUCGGCAUGCGGUCUGCUUGCUGCCUUUGAACAGCUGCUUCACUCCAAGGAUUAUCCUCUAACUGAGACCUAAAAAGGAGAGAUGGCAUUUUCCCCUUUAACAUCUUUCCAACAUAAUUUUCAUAUCAUAUGAUGUGCAGUUUAUAAUUCUCUCAAACACUAUACAUUUUUCAUCUUUGUGUGAGCUGCAAUAAUUUCCUUAAGGCUAAAGCACAGAGCCUUGUCUGACACGUGUGUUUCUGCUUGUGUAUUUUCAUCUGAUCAUGUACAGGGUCAUGGCUCUGUUUAAGCGUUUAUUUAACAUAGUGUGAUGUGUAUAUUUUUCAUCUGUUGCCUAAAGUAAUCUUCUGUUACUUCUAUUAUAUUGGUUGAUAAAGGCAGUCUUUUUUU